rnacentral:misc_RNA from 1 species
GAAAUGCGAUAAGUAAUGUGAAUUGCAGAAUUCAGUGAAUCAUCGAAUCUUUGAACGCACAUUGCGCCCCCUGGCAUUCCGGGGGGCAUGCCUGUCCGAGCGUCAUUGCUGCCCUUCAAGCCCGGCUUGUGUGUUGGGUCGUCGUCCCCUCCGGGGGACGGGCCCGAAAGGCAGCGGCGGCACCGCGUCCGGUCCUCGAGCGUAUGGGGCUUUGUCACCCGCUCGAUAAGGACCGGCCGGGCGCCAGCCGGCGUCUCCAACCUUUUUUUCUCAGGUUGACCUCGGAUCAGGUAGGGAUACCCGCUGAACUUAAGC